AUACGGAGGGUGCAAGCGUUAAUCGGAAUUACUGGGCGUAAAGCGCACGCAGGCGGUUUGUUAAGUCAGAUGUGAAAUCCCCGGGCUCAACCUGGGAACUGCAUCUGAUACUGGCAAGCUUGAGUCUCGUAGAGGGGGGUAGAAUUCCAGGUGUAGCGGUGAAAUGCGUAGAGAUCUGGAGGAAUACCGGUGGCGAAGGCGGCCCCCUGGACGAAGACUGACGCUCAGGUGCGAAAGCGUGGGGAGCAAACAGGAUUAGAUACCCUGGUAGUCCACGCCGUAAACGAUGUCGACUUGGAGGUUGUGCCCUUGAGGCGUGGCUUCCGGAGCUAACGCGUUAAGUUCGCCGCCUGGGGAGUACGGUCGCAAGACUGAA
rnacentral:rRNA from 1 species